ACGAACGCUGGCGGCGUGCUUAACACAUGCAAGUCGUACGGUAAGGCCCUUUCGGGGGUACACGAGUGGCGAACGGGUGAGUAACACGUGAGUAACCUGCCCACAACUUUGGGAUAACGCUAGGAAACUGGUGCUAAUACUGGAUAUGUGCUCCUGCUGCAUGGUGGGGGUUGGAAAGCUCCGGCGGUUGUGGAUGGACUCGCGGCCUAUCAGCUUGUUGGUGGGGUAGUGGCCCACCAAGGCGGCGACGGGUAGCCGGCCUGAGAGGGUGACCGGCCACAUUGGGACUGAGAUACGGCCCAGACUCCUACGGGAGGCAGCAGUGGGGAAUAUUGCACAAUGGGCGCAAGCCUGAUGCAGCAACGCCGCGUGCGGGAUGACGGCCUUCGGGUUGUAAACCGCUUUCAGCAGGGACGAAGCUUUUUGUGACGGUACCUGCAGAAGAAGCACCGGCUAACUACGUG
rnacentral:rRNA from 1 species